ACAUUUUUUUCCUCAAAAAAUUACUCUCCACUAUCAAUCUUGAGCAACAAAACAAUGGCCAACUCUCCUAAACGUUUUAAUCUUAAUUUCUCAUCCAUCACCCUUUCUAUAUCUCCUCUUCCGUCCAGAUAUAUAAUAACCUUCCUAACGUUCCAGAUCCAAUACCGUAUCCCAUUCUAACGUGGUAAAAAGAAACGGAACUCGUGUCAAUCAUGGGCGAUCUUCUGAAACGAAGAAAAAGGUCGUUAAGGUUGUUCCAUCCACCGUUUCCUUUCCAUCGUUACGCAAUCUCAAGACGAGAUCUCGUAGACGAGAGAUGCACGGCAGCAAUGAUCGAGGAACGAAGUGGUGGGACGAGCCACGCGGUCGCUAUAGCGCGUAGUCGAUGAACAACACCACAAGUCUGAUUCCGGUGUGGCUGCUCGCCGGAAGCGGUCACUGUGAAUCGGUAUACUCCGCUUCGAAAUAUCCAGUUUCGGAUGGAAUCUGACUUGACUCGAAGAAUCUUGGAAUACGACACUACGUCUUUUGAGAACUUGGACAGUCGAAAGACUUCGCUCGGCAAAGACUAUCUCUUUGUGCGAUUUUUGGAUAAUUUAUAAGGAUUCUCUUGGAAGGUAUUAAGAUCGAUAGUGAUUUUGAAGAAUUAUUUUUUUCAAAAUUUCUUUCUUUCUUUUUAUUUUGGAUUAAAUUUUGAGGAUUUUAGAAGAGGAUUUUAUGGGAUAAUUUUGAGAGAUAAUUUCUUCUCUCGUGAGAACUGUUUGGAAAGUUCUUGGAGGGGGUCUUCGAGAAGAUAAUUUUCUUGUGAAAGUUCGGAGAGUUUGAAGAUUCAGUUGGAAAAGAAUCUUUGUUUAUGCUAUCUUUUGACAUUUGGUAAAAGAGCUCUUUCAUGAUCCAGGACAGUUGGAAGAUUUUCUUGGAAAGAAAUAUUUUUUGCCAUGAUAUUGAAGAAUAUUCGCCGAAAAGAAUCAUUUUUCUUAGGAUUUUUGAACAGUUGAAAAAUUGUCUUGAAACAGUGCUGCUUUGAGUGGAUAUUGAAUGCCGAAAGAAGAAAACAAUAUUUUAAUUUAUUUAAGAAGAAAAUUUCGUCGAAAAAGAGAAAAGACUGAAAUAGUGAUUAUUUUAAAAAAAAUAACAAGUGAUUUAAUUUUGAUUUCAUAGCAUUCCAAGAACGAGUGAUGUUGGUCAGUUUACCGAUAUCGAUUCACAUUUAUCAUACAAACAUAAUUAUCGUGCUGUGAUUUAAAUCAAAACUUUGAUGCAUAGUCUCAAUUUGUUUUCUUGUUUUCUUUUUUUUUUUUUGUGCUUAUUAUAAGUUCAAACAUGACGAAAGAUAAACUUUUGACGAAUGAUCUUUGAUCUAUUCUCCUUCAGCGUAAUAAUAUUUUCAAGCCAGAUUUCUGUUUACUUUUAAAUCAAUAAGCGAAUUCGUUUAACUAUGUACUUUGUGUAUUUACAUAUUUUAUAGAUAACAAUUGCAAAAAUUGUCACCAAAAUAAUUAUUGAUCAACAUUGUUUCAUAAUUGCGAUAAACUUUUAACGUUGGUCAACUUUGAAUCUCAACUACGAAGAGUACAAUACACGAGAAAUUUUAUGGAAUUAUUUCUAGUGUCGAAACAUAGAUAAAAAUGAUAAAUACCGCAAAAUUGCGGAUUCGUGUUCCAUUGUUGAAAAGAUUGGUCGAGGUAUUGCGUUACGAAUGGAAGAACACGUUCUUCUGGGAUGAAAUUUCAUGCAUAAUACAUGGAAAUGGUGAACGAUGAUAUCACUUUAAUCGGUAUAUCGACGAAACGUUAUUGAAUCUGUUCGAUGUCGGGAACGAUGCCACGAGGAAAGACAAACGGUGCAACGCGUAACCAAUAUGUGUCGACCUAUCGAUGCUAGUUAUCGUAUUUCGUGAUUUAUUACAACACUAAUAAAUCGAUUCACAAUUCGCGCCAUAAUUUAAUGGCCGCUCGCUAAUGAAUUUGGAUUUCUAGAAUUUGAACAAAGUUCAAAGUUGAGCAAAUCAAAGUUGAAAUGUCGUUCUGAAACUCUAGAAUUUUUAAAUUCUCGAGCUUUGGGAAUUUUAGAAUAAUAAGAAUUAUAAUAUCCAAGUUAUAUGGAAUAGUAAAAUUCUCCGAGCUCCAAAAUUGUUAAUAAGCUUUAAAAAUUUGAGAAUUCAAUUUUAAAAUAUCGAGAUUCCGUAGUUUCAAAAUUCAGAAUUUAAAUCUAUACAAAGUAUUAGAAUUCCAAAUCAGUUUUAAUUCUAAAGUUUCGAAUUCUAGAAUCCAGAAAACGUACAACUUCAAUGUUCUAGGAUUUGAAUUGUAAAAUAUUCCUAAAGUUUCCUAAAGUUUCAAUUUUAAAAUUCUCAAAUUUUAUUUCGAAUUGUUCCUUCUUCGACUUUUCAUUUAAUUUGAAUAUUGGAGAAGAUUUUUACAAAAUUCCACGUCUCAAAAUUUUCGAAUCAUAUAACGCAAUUAUCGUAAUUAAUCGAUGUGUCUAAUAAUAAAUGUGUCGUCUCUUGGACGAUCGAUAAUUCAUUAAUGUAAGGUAUAAUAGAAACAAGGUGCGCGUUACGGUUCUAUUAUGGAUUUUUUCCUCCUAUUAUGUCUCGUCAUUGGAAUAAACCGGAACAACUAACGAUGCUAAUUAUCAUCGACGUCUCCAACUUUGAUGCUUUCGAUUCAAAUAGAUAUAAAUGACAUCAUAGACAAUUGGUAUCAUGACAUGAUUAGACAAUUGGUUCAGACUCGAUUACAGACUUCAUAAAGUUAUCUAAACAGAGAUCUAAAUAUUUCAACAAUGUUGCUGAAAGGAAUACGAAAGAAAAUUGAAAUGAACUGGGCGAUGGAAUAUUUUACUCGAAUUUUAAAGCGAGUUUCACUACUCGUCCUUGAUAAGAUGCCUCUCGUGAAAUUGCGACAUUUUAUUUCGCUUUAUACAUCAACUUUCAUGACGUAGAAAAUUUUCUAUUUAAUAUCUCACGUGAUACGUUUCCAUAAAAAUAAAAUUUAUUUUCAACAAUCCAAGAAUUCUUCCUUUGCGAACGUGUUUUCUAGCAUUUUCUUUCUACGUUUUCAUCAUUGUUAUUAUUAUUAUUAUUAUUUCUUUUUUUUUUAUGAAAUUUAUUUUACAUGUGUUAUUGCUACAUUUUUUUAUAAUCAAAUUCUUAUAAUUAUAAUCAAAAAUAUGAAUAAAGAAACGAAGGUUAAA